ACCUUUCAAAUCAGGGUGCGGCGCGGCCCCCGAGGAGCGGAAACAAUCCUUGGGAGGUAUGCGGGGGCUUCGAGCCCCCCAUUUACGCACGCACGACUGCCAUCCUUACUUUACGAGCACCUUAUUGUUCUCCCUCGGCGGGCUUACCUGCCGGUUGGAACAGUAAUCAAACUCUUUUUGUAGUUAGCAUCAGCUGUCAGAAAAACAAUAGUAUUA
rnacentral:misc_RNA from 1 species